ensembl:lncRNA
UGGAAAAUAAUAUCUUGAAUAAAUUAUUCACCGAUUGCUCGAAAUGUAUGAAUAAUGUAUUUGGAGGAGAGUAUUCAACCAUACAUAAAGCUGGUCAAAAAGGGGCAAAUGUGUUUCUGGGUGUACAGAAAUUGGUGACAUUUAUUGUGUUCUGAAUAAGAGCAAAAGCAAAGCGAAGUGAAAGAAGCAGAAAAGAUCAGAGCACGGGGCUGUGUAAUGGCUAUUCUCAAGAAAAAAGAAGUGAAUGUUUUUCACGCAAACCUGCUUUAAAAUAAUGGAAAAUAAAGUUAUGCGUGAUGUUUUCUUAAUUUAGCAUUUUAUAAUACAAUCUGGUUUGUCAUCAAGAACUUGUAACCAUCAGCAGAAUGUAAAUACUAUAAUCCUUGUGACAAUGUCUAUUCUACCUGCUCUGCCUGCUGCUAUUUUGGGUUGAUGCUAAGAAAUCAUUCCACCUCAAGUACUAAUUUUAUUAAUAAAAGUUAAGCAUAGCUAAACUAUCCUUAACUGCUCGGUGAAAUCUUAUUUCACUGAACAAACAAUUACUAAAAACAAUGAAUACACACAGCAAUGUGCAUUGUUUCAUUUGCACUUAAUAUACAUCCAUCAAUGUAUUCACUGUGCAGUAGAAGUUAUCAGAGGUAUGUAUCAAUAGAAAGAGAUUUAUUUAUUAGAGCGUGGUUGCAAAGGUAUUUAUUUGGAUCCCAGGGCUGUUUGUUGGCCUGUAACAGAGAUGUGAAAUCUGGAGCUGGAAAGAAUCCAAGAUUAAAAGCAGAUAGUGUGGUUUACACUUCAAGUCACUCCUCCAAAGGCGUUUAUCCAUCUGAGUCAGACCUGAAGCCACACAGUGCCAAGGACACGGUAUUGCUGGAGGUGUUGUCUUUCAGCUCAGAUAUACAGCCCGGUGCUAACCUGCAUGAAAAGCAGCAGAAGGAUGAGGUCACGGCUGGGAAGGAAAGGCAGCAGUGCAGGGAACCCACAGAUCGCCAAACAGCCCCAAGGCUCAGCACAGGCGCUGCAGAUCUCCAGUUGUCUGACCUCGCCGAUUAGCGAGGUGGGAAACUAGAGGAGAUGGAUGGGGUUUGUAAGGAAAAUGAAAGAGCAACUGAAUCCUGACAAAACAGCCUUGCUAGGGCCUGUUUCUAAUGUCAGCAGUU